rnacentral:lncRNA from 1 species
GAAAUAGUCCACAUUAAUAAAACCCUUAGCUGGGAUGUCUAUGACUUUCAAGCUAUUUUUGAAUUUUUGACAAGUGUUGUGUUUUGGGGCUUGUUCAGCAGAUUCCUUCUGAGUUUGAUUUGAUCUUUUGGGUUCUACAGUAGGAUAUGACUGCAGUGCAUCCAAAGAGUAACUGAAGCUUCACAGACACAAAAAACUCUAGUGUUGGAUUCCAGCUGUACUACUUCAUACUUGGGAACAAGACGUUACUCCAAUGACAAUUUAACUGCAGUGUUGAAGUCCACAUGACAGCUUUAGCAGAUUCACAUUCUCUAAUAAUAUACACCUAAGACGACAAGAAGACAGAACUACUAACAGGUCUAUUGGGUGCUUUUCUGAAUUACACCCGACCACUGAUUUCGUAUUAAAAUGUAUCAACUGUCAAACCAUUGGAUGUGAAAAAACAUUUGACUUGAUAAGGAUUCAGAUGAACUACAGAAAUUAGAUUAGUUGGUUCUCUUCUUGAAGCUCUUUAUUCUUUGAAGAAGAAAACAGUAUGAAGGAUAGAAGAAGUAUCUGGCAGAAAAAGAGUAAGGGAUUCCUGGGAAAAAUUACAUUGCAGAUUUUUCUGUGAGGCAGAUGUGGAAAAAAAAC